AUACGGAGGGUGCAAGCGUUGUUCGGAAUUACUGGGCGUAAAGCGCGUGCAGGCGGUAAGGUAAGUCAGAUGUGAAAGCCCCGGGCUCAACCCGGGAAGUGCAUUUGAUACUGCCUUUCUUGAGUAUGGGAGAGGAGAGUGGAAUUCCCUGUGUAGAGGUGAAAGUCGUAGAUAUUGGGAGGAACACCCGUGGCGAAGGCGACUCGCUGGACCAAUACUGACGCUGAGACGCGAAAGCGUGGGGAGCGAACAGGAUUAGAAACCCCAGUAGUCC
rnacentral:rRNA from 1 species